rnacentral:lncRNA from 1 species
GAAGUUGGCGAGACAAUGGUAUAACUUCAAAUUUCAUCUUUGUGUUUAAUUUGCAGUGCAUCAGGGGUAUUUUGUCAUUUUGUUCAAUGUACUAAAUAGCUAGAGUUUGCACUACUACUUAUGCUAGAUAUUUGGUUAAUUUCAGAAAAAAAUUCAGAAAAUCAACGAUAAGUCAGUUGAAGAUUCCUCACUGUCUCUUAAAGAUGAUGCAUUGUCACAAGUUUUUGGACCCGAACCUUCUGGUCAUGUUAGAGCACUUGGAUUUGGUGUUACUCCUUCGAAAGUUGGUAUAAUUACACAACACAAAGAAAAAGUUGUCCAGCUAGAACAAGAGGUUGAAGAACUUUCAAAGAAGGUUGCUAGCAUGGAGUCGACAAGGAGAGACUUGGAAGAAAAAAUAAGGCAAGAGAUGCAAGAAUCAUUAAGAGAAGAAAUGAGAGGAGCAAUAAGGGAGGAGUGUCAAGAACAAAUCAAUACUAUGCAGAGUUUGGUGAAUCAGCUUUUGAUAUCUCAGGUAAGUGGUUAAAUGGUUUAGUUUGUUAAUUUCUUUUGUGAUGGAAUAUGGUUAUUGGUAUUUGUUGUCUUUCUUGUUUGUUUAUCUCUGGGAAUAUGGAUUGUUCAAUGUGCUAGACCAAAACUUCUUAGCUUUUCAAUAUUAAAAGGUCUGCAGUCCAUUUUGGACUGCUGGCAACUGGCCCAAAGAGAUCUGGCUGAAUAUGAGUGCUAGCAAUUGCCUAGUACCAUUAAUUCAUUAUAGGGUAAUCUCAAACUAUGAGUAGUUGAAUAUAUUAAUCUACAGAUUUCUAAAACCUUUUAAAAGUUAAAAGUCACAAAGUUAGCAUUUUUUAGCAUGAGAAAAAGAUCAACUUAUGAUUUCUUUUUAUAUUUUAUGGUUGAACAGGGUUAUGAACCAAUGUUUGGAACAUCUUCAAGUGCACAUCAGCUUAAGUAUCAAUAUAACAUGAUUGUUGUAAUCGAGUGUUAUCUGAUUUUUAAAUAAUUUGAGUAAUUGUUAUUUUGUUUUCAAUUAGGUGCAUUCCACAAAUAAAAAUCCCUUAGUUGUGAAGUGCAAACUGUUUCGAAUGGACGAAGAAGACAUUGUAGCUGAAGGUGUUUGGCUGUCAAAUAAUCCAGAUAUGGAAGCGCAGGGGAUUAAACUUGGGUCAGGUGCAUCUAAGGUUGUGGUGGAACAUGUUAUCGAAUCUACAGCAAGAUUAUGGAAACCUUGCAAUGGUAUGAAAAUAUUGGAAGAUGCUAUAGGUUGCUCCAUUGCAUGGCCCACUGACCAUAUCAUAAGAGAG